rnacentral:SRP_RNA from 1 species
GCUGGGUGUGGUGGUGCGUGCCUGUAAUCCCAGCUACUUGGGAGGCUGAGGCAGGAGAAUUGCUUGAACCCAGGAGGCAGAGGUUGCAGUGACUUGAGAUUGCACCACUGCACUCCAGCCUGGGUGACAGAGCAAGACUCCGUCUCAA